rnacentral:rRNA from 1 species
GACGAACGCUGGCGGCGUGCUUAACACAUGCAAGUCGAACGGAAAGGCCCUGCUUUUGUGGGGUUCUCGAGUGGCGAACGGGUGAGUAACACGUGAGUAACCUGCCCUUGACUUUGGGAUAACUUCAGGAAACUGGGGCUAAUACCGGAUAGGAUCUCCUGCUGCAUGGUGGGGGUUGGAAAGUUUCGGCGGUUGGGGAUGGACUCGCGGCUUAUCAGCUUGUUGGUGGGGUAGUGGCUUACCAAGGCUUUGACGGGUAGCCGGCCUGAGAGGGUGACCGGCCACAUUGGGACUGAGGUACGGCCCAGACUCCUACGGGAGGCAGCGGGGGGGAAUAUUGCACAAUGGGCGGAAGCCUGAUGCAGCAACGCCGCGUGCGGGAUGACGGCCUUCGGGUUGUAAACAGCUUUCGCCUGUGACGAAGCGUGAGUGACGGUAAUGGGUAAAGAAGCACCGGCUAACUACGUG